UACAGCCCCUUAUAAAUACAGACUGAACACACACAUUAGACACAAUUCUGGAUUUUUGCACCAGGAAAAUACUUUGUACUGCCCUUGUCAACAAGACAAAAUGAGUGAACCCGGCAAAAAGGACAUUAAGGCAAAGAAGCCAGAGGCGGCGGAAGGACACUCAACAUCUGGGUCAGAUGGAGGGAAAAAAGAACAUGGAAAGCCACAAGGAAAGGAACCUGGAAAGGAACACGCAAAGGAACCUGGGAAGGAAAAGGGACAUGGACAUGGAGCACCCCGUGGUGGUCACAAAUAAAUGAUCCUUUAAUCGCCAUUCUGUGAUAAUGAUUGUAAAGAAUUAAAUGCAUCUCUAAUAAAAUAAUCCAGAAAAAGA